UUUUUUAUUUGUUUUUGUUUUGUUUUUUUCCAUUUUAAUUGGGGUAGCCCCCAAAAUAUUGGGACAAAUAAAAAAAGAAACAUUUGUGGCCUGUUGUGCAUUUCUUGCAGUCCUGAUUCAUGGAUAAAUGCUCAACUCCUGAUACAUGGAGAAAAGGCCUUCACAAGCCUCUGCUAUUGUGUACAUCACAAGGGCCACCCAGAACUGGAUCAACUCCCAUCAAGCCAAGUUUCCGGAGGAGAUCACCCAGCUCGUCAUGCUAGAGCACUUUUUCAAUGUGCUCCACAACGAGAAGGCGACGACGCAUUCGUAUGUCAAUCCAUAUCAACUUUCGAUGCCAUUGGUGACCACGGGUAAUGGGGAAUUAGGGUUUGAUUCCGUAUAGGGACCCUAAUAAACGGCUACCACAUGCAGGGAAGGCAGCAGGCGCGCAAAUGACCCACUCCCGACGCGGGAAGGUAGUGACGACAAAUAACAAUACAGGACUCUUUAGAGGCCCUGUAAUUGUAAUGAGUCCACUUGAAAUCCUUUAACUCUGAUCAAUUGGAGGGAAGUCUGGUGCAGAGCCACUGACCCAUGUGUGCUGCAGCUGAAACUCCACUA